rnacentral:lncRNA from 1 species
ACAUUUUCCAAAAACGUGACUAAAACUGACUAUUAAUUUGAGUGUACUUAGACGGCGGUAUCAGAUAUGGUACAGACGUUUUCAAGGCUUUAGCUUUGGGUGCAAGGGCUGUGUUUGUAGGAAGACCUGUGUUAUGGGGCUUAGCCUAUCAAGUAAGUAUACCACAGUGAAAUGAAUAAAGCUGGAACGCUACCUCCAACCGGAAAUUUGAAGCCAAACUUGAAGGCCAAUCCCAGUCUUUUCAUGCACACGGAGAGCGCGGUCAACCAGGGGUCAACUGUCAACAUGAAUAUGAAAACCGGCUUACACUGCAAUUUACAAAAUAAAAGCUCUCUCUAUUAAUGCAUUUAUUCAGUUUAAACUUCCUUGUAGACUUUACUUUUCUUUUUUCCUUUUUUUUUGUCCGAUAGUAAUGACCAGCGAGGUUUUUAACACAAUUUAUACUCAACCUAUAGUUUUAUUUCCAGAUCAGUAUACUGCAACUGUCAAGGUUAAUGCUGUUUUUUCUGCUGGGUGUUUUAGGGAGAGGAAGGCGUGUAUAAAGUUCUUCAGAUCUUCAAAGAAGAAUUUAAAUUAGCAAUGGGCCUAACGGGUGAGAUUCAAACUAAAUUCGCUACUGUUUCCUUUAUUCAGAU